GGGGGCGAAAGGACUCGACGGAGGUAGUGAGGGCUAAGCUGCAUGCCGUGGUUCCUGCCACCACGUAAAACAGGUAGGGAAAACACAACUGCCAACAACGAAUUGGCACUCGCUGCUUAAUUAAAAGCAGCCGUCUUCCCAAGUUCUGCUCUGAGGCUUGGGCAAGGCGUCAUAAAUCAGAGCUAUCCUAAGGCACAAACCCGAUGCCUUAGGGAGAGCUAAGGGUUGUAGGAGCUUAGAGAGCCUGUGGAAGGGCGAGCUAACUUCCGAAUCCUAAAACUUCCACUAAGCAUGUAGAUGCUUAGAAGUAGCACCUUCGGACGCGGGUUCGAUUCCCGCCGCCUCCACCA
rnacentral:tRNA from 26 species